ACCAUGUGUUUAACGGCCGCGGUAUUCUGACCGUGCAAAGGUAGCGCAAUCACUUGUCUCUUAAAUGGAGACCUGUAUGAAAGGCACCACGAGGGCUUAGCUGUCUCCCCUUUAAAGUCAAUGAAAUUGAUCUCCCCGUGCAGAAGCGGGGAUAUACCCGUAAGACGAGAAGACCCUAUGGAGCUUAAGACACAAGGCGACCCAUGUCAAGCACCCUCCCCAGAGCGGAUGAACAUGAUGAGCCUCGCUGGAGUGUCUUCGGUUGGGGCGACCGCGGGGAAACACAAAACCCCCACAUGGAUUAGGGCAACUAACCCCUAGAACCUAGACCCACAGGUCGAGUCAACAGAACUUCUGACCACCAAAGAGCCGGCAGUGCCGAUCAACGGGACCGAGUUACCCU
rnacentral:rRNA from 1 species